GACGAACGCUGGCGGCGUGCUUAACACAUGCAAGUCGAACGGAAAGGCCCUGCUUGCAGGGUACUCGAGUGGCGAACGGGUGAGUAACACGUGGGUGAUCUGCCCUGCACUUCGGGAUAAGCCUGGGAAACUGGGUCUAAUACCGGAUAGGAGCCAUUUUUAGUGUGAUGGUUGGAAAGUUUUUUCGGUGUAGGAUGAGCUCGCGGCCUAUCAGCUUGUUGGUGGGGUAAUGGCCUACCAAGGCGGCGACGGGUAGCCGGCCUGAGAGGGUGGACGGCCACAUUGGGACUGAGAUACGGCCCAGACUCCUACGGGACGCAGCAGUGGGGAAUAUUGCACAAUGGGCGCAAGCCUGAUGCAGCGACGCCGCGUGGGGGAUGACGGCCUUCGGGUUGUAAACUCCUUUCGCUAGGGACGAAGCUUUUUGUGACGGUACCUAGAUAAGAAGCACCGGCUAACUACGUG
rnacentral:rRNA from 1 species